AUGCAUGGGCCUUCGCUACCAACU
rnacentral:siRNA from 1 species